AACGAACGCUGGCGGCAGGCCUAACACAUGCAAGUCGAACGCCCCGCCAGGGGAGUGGCAGACGGGUGAGUAACACGUGGGAACCUUCCCUAUAGUACGGAAUAGCCCAGGGAAACUUGGAGUAAUACCGUAUACGCCCGAAAGGGGAAAGAAUUUCGCUAUAGGAUGGGCCCGCGUAGGAUUAGCUAGUUGGUGAGGUAAUGGCUCACCAAGGCGACGAUCCUUAGCUGGUUUGAGAGAACGACCAGCCACACUGGGACUGAGACACGGCCCAGACUCCUACGGGAGGCAGCAGUGGGGAAUAUUGGACAAUGGGCGCAAGCCUGAUCCAGCCAUGCCGCGUGAGUGAUGAAGGCCUUAGGGUUGUAAAGCUCUUUUGGCGGGGACGAUAAUGACGGUACCCGCAGAAUAAGUCCCGGCUAACUUCGUG
rnacentral:rRNA from 1 species